ACUGUGUGUCUACAACAGCAAGUUAUACGCAUGUGUAUCUUUGAAUAUUCAUGGAUUAUUAUGGUGAAUGACGUCAAGUUGACCUUUCCAAAAUGGCGGACGCGUCAGCGUAUCUGGAGCGGUCGAAUGUGGCAUCUAUACAUAUCUGUGGAUAAUCCUCCUGAACGGAAGUUUCUCUCGACAGCUUCCGGGUUCUGGAAACUACAUCUGGAAAUCUGAUUUAUGACCAUAUACAAUUAACAAUAGUUAAUAGAUGUGAAGAUAUAUGCACAUAUUACCAUUGUUUGCUGGAGACAUAUAUGAUACAUUAUAUGUACAAACAUGGGGAUAACAGGGUUUUUAAGUGUACUUGCAGACAAUAAGCCUUUGACUAAAAUUAAAGGCCACUUAAGUGUACUUAAAGAGAACUAAGUUUAAUUUAAAUGUGCAUUUUAAAUAAUUUAUGUUUUGACUAAUAUACUAAUGUACAUGCAGUAUAUAUAUUGUGGAACAAAAUACAAGUCUCUUACACUAAUGUUAGCCUGUCUGAACUAUUUCUGAUCAACAUUUGUAUGUCACAUCUUUAUCUCUGUCUUAAUUUGGUCUCCCUAGAAAAACCUAACUGAAACCUUUCGUUACCAUAUUCCUUCUUUCAGUUAUCAGUGUCCUAAAGGAUGAGUAAUUCACUGCAGAUGCUGCAAGCAGAACUAACACGGCAAACUAUGGUCUGUUCACUUGAUCGCCUCUCUUGUGUAAUUAGUGCUUGAUAUUUUGGAUAUGUUUGGACAUGUAAUUCAGGGCUCAACACGAGUGAUUUUGGUGGCUUCUGCUUCUUUUGGAGCGAGCUCAGCUCUUCUUGUUCUUACGACACACAGUGCUUUGGAGCUCAAGCAGAGCUGAAGCACGUUCAUCCACCCAGGAGCCAGAUGAAGGACACAGAGAUCUCUGUGGAUCCUCAGGACUUCAGAAACAGCCCGUUUCACACAAGCACAAGCUGGCCCAGUCUCUAGAGGAUCUGGAACCUGAACUCGCUGCCAGACCGAGACUGAGAUUCACUAAACAGGAGAGACUCACAGGACUCCAGGCUGCACACUUCAGUCUACAAAUGGACCGGACGGAAACUACUGAGCGCACCGCGAGACGAGAAGCGCACACCCCGCCUACCAGAGGACCGGAAGUUGUGUAGAAGUCAGCCAGCCACUCACAUUACCAACACAGUCUGGCGGGGAAACUCAAACUGCUGUGAUCCCGCUAUACCUUGGUUUUGUCUUUUGGAGCUUUAAUACAUCAAGGCGAUCAAAAAUGACUCGGCUAAAGCGGUGAACUGGAGAAGUGUAAAUGGGAAAACACCAAAUCAAAGUUUGGAGCAUAAAAACAUUG